rnacentral:rRNA from 1 species
AUUGAACGCUGGCGGCAGGCCUAACACAUGCAAGUCGAACGAGUGGCGGACGGGUGAGUAAUGUCUGGGAAACUGCCCGCUGUAGGGGGAUAACUACUGGAAACGGUAGCUAAUACCGCAUACCAUCGGAUUUGCCCAGAUGUGAUUAGCUUGUAGGUGAGGUAACGGCUCACCUAGGCGACGAUCCCUAGCUGGUCUGAGAGGAUGACCAGCCACACUGGAACUGAGACACGGUCCAGACUCCUACGGGAGGCAGCAGUGGGGAAUAUUGGACAAUGGGCGCAAGCCUGAUGCAGCCAUGCCGCGUGUGUGAAGAAGGCCUUCGGGUUGUAAAGUACUUUCAGUGGGGAGGCGUUACCCACAGAAGAAGCACCGGCUAACUCCGUGCCAGCAGCCGCGGUAAUUC